rnacentral:rRNA from 1 species
AGCGAACGCUGGCGGCAGGCCUAACACAUGCAAGUCGAACGAACUCUUCGGAGUUAGUGGCGGACGGGUGAGUAACACGUGGGAACGUGCCUUUAGGUUCGGAAUAACUCAGGGAAACUUGUGCUAAUACCGAAUGUGCCCUUCGGGGGAAAGAUUUAUCGCCUUUAGAGCGGCCCGCGUCUGAUUAGCUAGUUGGUAGUGUAAUGGACUACCAAGGCUACGACCAGUAGCUGGUCUGAGAGGAUGAUCAGCCACAUUGGGACUGAGACACGGCCCAAACUCCUACGGGAGGCAGCAGUGGGGAAACUUGCGCAAUGGGCGAAAGCCUGACGCAGCCAUGCCGCGUGAAUGAUGAAGGUCUUAGGAUUGUAAAAUUCUUUCACCGGGGAAGAUAAUGACGGUACCCGGAGAAGAAGCCCCGGCUAACUUCGUGCCAGCCGCCGCGGUAAUAC